rnacentral:rRNA from 1 species
GACGAACGCUGGCGGCGUGCUUAACACAUGCAAGUCGAACGGAAAGGCCCUGCUUUUGUGGGGUGCUCGAGUGGCGAACGGGUGAGUAACACGUGAGUAACCUGCCCUUGACUUUGGGAUAACUUCAGGAAACUGGGGCUAAUACCGGAUAGGGGCUCCUGCUGCAUGGUGGGGGUUGGAAAGUUUCGGCGGCUGGGGAUGGACUCGCGGCUUAUCAGCUUGUUGGUGGGGUAGUGGCUUACCAAGGCUUUGACGGGUAGCCGGCCUGAGAGGGUGACCGGCCACAUUGGGACUGAGAUACGGCCCAGACUCCUACGGGAGGCAGCAGUGGGGAAUAUUGCACAAUGGGCGGAAGCCUGAUGCAGCAACGCCGCGUGCGGGAUGACGGCCUUCGGGUUGUAAACCGCUUUCGCCUGUGACGAAGCGUGAGUGACGGUAAUGGGUAAAGAAGCACCGGCUAACUACGUG